CAUGUGUGUUUGGGAGUUCUUCUAUUCUUGUAUUUGCUCUUUUCUCUCCUGAUUUUGCUUUGCUUCUAUUCAUGUCCGUAGACUCUUCCGCGUUGUGUGGUGGUAUGUUUGUGUGUAACAACGGUACUUUCGCUGCAAGGUUGGAGGGGGCGCGGGCGUCGAGUGUGUUGUUUAUCAGCUGUGAUCUGUGCGUGUGAAACUUUUUCGGUGUGCUGAAACGGAUUCAAAAAUCUGUUUGCUCUACAAAGUCGAUGAGUGCAUCUAAUCAGUUCUGCAGCGCCAUGGUGAACGUUGGGAGGUGUUUGCACGGAAGACGGAGCGGGAAAAGGUUCACGGCAACUAUGCGGUGAGGAGGAUAUCAACGGAUUGUGCAUUUACAGUUAGCGGGUGAGCACACGCUGUACCUCGUAGGAGAACCUGGCCAUGGGUAUCGGAGAAUGUAAAUCGUAUGCCGGAAUCGUGCUUGGCCUUGAACACUGACUCUGCUCGAUCACGGGUUCCAAAUUGGUCAUUACGUUACCGGCGGCUUGCCAGCAACCAGCAUUGGGUGUUCUUUUUCUGUCAGUUCUUCCUACCGUCCUUCUGUGUAUAAAGUGCCUUCCAUUAACAUCUCCCGACAGCAAUGGUUGCUUCUAGCACGGAUUAUGAUGGUGCUGUUGCUGAAGAGGAAUGUUGUGUUGCCUGGUUGCACUGGACAGGAUGGUUCACACAGUGUAGUCAAUCUCCUGUUGGUGUCGAUUGUUCCCUUCGAGCCGGAGGCCCAUCCCGGCCGCUCAGUGCGAUAGUGUUAGGUGC